rnacentral:rRNA from 1 species
AUGACUUUAUCUCGCCGACAUGGUCACGGCCCUCCUAUAAAAUCACCAUACCAGACACUGCUAAAUCAACAACACUCAUCACACCCAACCAUCAGCUUUCAAUCCAGCUACCAGUUCCCGUCUCAGCAUCAGCACACGGAUUUCUCCUCGGGCCAACCUCCGGAUCCAUCAACAAUGGCGAACUCUGUCUCCGGGGUGGCGGUGAAUGAGGAGUGCGUGAAGGUGUUCCAGGAGCUGCGGGCGGAGCGCAAGCACCGGUUCGUGGUGUACAAGAUGGACGACGACGCGCAGCAGGUGGUGGUGGACAAGGUGGGCGCCCUCGACGCCACCUUCGACGACCUGGCGGCGGCGAUGCCCGCCGACGACUGCCGCUACGCGGUGUACGACCUGGACUUCGUGUCCGAGGACUCGGCGGGGGACACGCCGCGGAGCAAGAUCUUCUUCAUCCACUGGUCGCCGGAGUCUGCGGACGCGAGGAACAAGAUGCUGUAUGCCAGCUCCACGGAGGGGCUCAAGAAGGAGCUGGACGGCGUGCAGAUCGACGUGCAGGCCACCGACGCCAGCGAGCUCACCCUCAACAUCCUCAAGGACUACACCACCUAA